UUCGGAACUCUAAAGGUUUACAUUCAAAUUCUUGAAAGGGUUUUGGAACAUCUUGGAAGUUGACUUCACCAAGGCUGUAAAGCACUUCAAAUCUAUGACUCAAAUCUGAUAGGGGUGUAGCUCAUCAUUUAUAUUGCUUAUUCCAAAAAUCCAAGAUUGUUUGUCACUCUCGAAUUAUAGACCUAUAAGUCUAAUAUGGUGUUUCACAAGGUAACCUCCAAGAUCCUUGUUUUGCUGUAACGCCCGAUUUUCAAGUAUGAAAUAUUUCUUUCAAGUCUUUGGAUCUUACUAACCACAUCGUGACUGAUGGACUGCCACGACAUGACCUCAUUUAAAUGAAUGUGCAGAUUCUUUGAUCCCCACGGUGUGGUCGUGUAAUGGCCACAUCAUGGUGGCUAUUUUAUGACAAACCCUAAAUUUUCGGGUCUUAAGCCCUAUUUCAAGUAAGUGAUAGCUAGAGUUUUUUCCCUUCUUAGCCUCCAUCACACUCUAAACUCAAAAAUCUAAACCCUAGCUUCCUUUUCAUGAUUUGAGCUCACUUUGGUGCCUUUUGUGAUCUUUGAUAGAAGAAGAACGAGCUUAGGGGGUGUUUGGUAGGCAAGAAUAAAAGGAGGAAUGAAAUGGGAUAUUCAGGGGUAAUGAAAAAAACAUGUUUAGUACGUAUUUCAUGAUUUGAGCUCACUUUGGUGCCUUUUGUGAUCUUUGAUGGAAGAAGAACGAGCUUUAGGGGGUGUUUGGUAGGCAAGAAUAAAAGGAGGAAUGAAAUGGGAUAUUCAGGGGUAAUGAAAAAAACACGUUUAGUACGUAUAAGGAAAGGAAAGCCCUAUUCUUGAAGCAAUCCCAUUCCCCUAAAACACGGGAUUUUCAUUCCAUGGGGUAACCCCGUUUUUUUUCAUUCCAUUCCCUCCUUAUAAUUGUAUCUUCCGAAAUUGCCCCUCUAUCAGCCUCUCAAAUCGGAAGCGUAGGCACGAUAUCACUAAAAAUCAACAUUGCAUCUUCAACUGAUUGAGGAAAAGAUAUCGAUUUUGCAUUUGGAUAUCAUAAUCGCAACGUUUUCCCUCACAAACGUUGACUAAUUUCCAACGAAAUCAUUAUAAAAUUGUUUUCUAUGAAUCAUUACAUGAUCGACCACCAAAGCUUCAAGACAAUUUCAAGUAUAUUUCAUCACGGCUCCAAGAAUUUCGAGGUACUUCUGAUGAUCGCGGGAAGGAAAAGGCAUGAUCGUACACCACCUUAUGUUUCAUGAUUUGAUUCUGGGAUACUCUGACACUAAACUAUUUUGAAAACAAGUUUGUAAUAAUUAUUGGUUUUGAAAUGUUUUAAGAAGUUUAAAAUUUGGCAUGAUUUUUAUGGGCGUUACAUUAAGAAACCCGAGCCUAUACCAGAAACUUCAACCGAUGAAAGAUGGAAAUGGUUUAAGGGAUGUUUAGGAGCAAUAGAUGGGACACACAUAAGUGUACAUGUAGCAAAGGCAGACAAACCUAGAUACAGAAAUCGAAAAGGCAAAAUAACAACGAAUGUACUUGUUGCUUGUACUCCUGAUAUGCAAUUCAUUUAUGUAUUACCAGGAUGGGAAGGAUCUGUUGUGGAUGGUAGAAUACUACGUAAUGCAAUGCUUCGAGAAAAUGGGUUACAAGUUAGUAAAGGUAACUAUUAUCUUGUUGAUGUCGGGUACACGAAUGGAUAAGGAUUCCUCGCACCAUUCAGGGUCAAAGAUAUCAUCUCAAUACUUGUUGGAAUGGUCAUUGACCAAAAAAGGCUGAGGAAUAUUUUAACAUGAAGCACUCGGCGGCAAGGAACGUUAUAGAAUGUUGCUUUGGGGUAUUAAAAAAGCGAUGGGCUAUACUUAGAAGUCCAUCAUUCUAUCCCAUUCGGACACAAAAUAAAAUUAUCCUUGCGUGUUGCCUUCUACAUAACUUUAUACGAAAGGAAUUGCCAUAUGAUCCACUUGAUGAUGAUGAUAUUAUUGACACGAACAACGAUGAGGAUGAUGCAAACCUUGGAUCACAAGUCGAGCACAUAACAACAAUUGGAACAUCUAAUGAGUGGACAAUUUUUAGAGAAAACUUGGCUAACUCAAUGUUUAAUUCUUGGAGAUCUAGGCGUAACUGAUCUAUCAUUUUUGUAUUAACUAAAUUGUGAUACAUUUUUAUGAAAUUUUAGUAAUAUUAUGUUUUCA